rnacentral:rRNA from 1 species
AUGGGCCUAUCCCUACGGCUCCGUGUAUGCCGACGCCCGCGACCAAAUACUCCGUCUGGCCGGUUCUCCAACUACAAAAUCCAGCCAGAUUUCAUCGCAACAAUGUUGGGGUUGGAGGAGGCCCCUCCUGCGCAUGCCCUCACAGCUGAGAAAACUUGCGACCCGUCCGGCAUGACCUUCGCCUAUGGUGGUGCAGGUGUGCUAGAAAGUACAUCACACGGAGUUCACACCCUCCGCAAGCAGGUUGACGCUUUUAGGAAGAUGGUCAAGGAUGGGACCAUCUCUGAGAAGCAGUUGAGUCACUCGGUAGCCCUCGUGGCCAUCUCCGGCAAUGAUUAUGCAAGCGCAAGCGUGAUUGGUCUAAGUAGGCCCAGUGAUAUUAAAGCUUAUAUUGGAAAGGUGACAAAAGAGAUCGCAGCAAAUGUGGAGCAAUUGUUGAAGCUUGGAGUGACAAAAGUUCUUGUCAACAACUUGCACCCUAUCGGUUGCACGCCAUCACAAACACGAACCAAUAACUACACUGUGUGCGAUAUUUUUGGAAAUUUAGGUGCAUCAAUCCAUAACGAUAACCUAAAACAAGUCAUGACAGUAAAGAAGAAUGUUCACAUCGUCGACCUAUACGCCGCCUUUAGUAGCAUUGUGGAUCAUGCGCCAGGUAAAGGCUCAGAUCUAUCUAAGCAAUUCAAGCGCAAACUAUCGCCCUGUUGCGAGAGUUUGGAUUCGAAUGGCUAUUGCGGACAACAAGGCGAGUCGUCCUCAGAGCUUCUAUACACCGUAUGCGACAAGUCCGGCAAAUUUUUCUAUUGGGACGACAAGCACCCCACACAUGCAGGAUGGGAGGCUAUCAUGAAACAGUUGGAAAAGCCCUUGAAGGAGUUUGUAGAUCAAGACUAG